GGGGGCGCAAUGGUUUCGACGGGGAGAUGCGGACGUCUAGGUAGCGAGCCGAGAUCCCACCUACUCGUUAAUCGGUGGAACAAAGACAACUGCCGACGAUUACGCGUUGGCCGCUGCGUAAGCACGCAGCCAUCCGAACGUCCGUCGCCUGAGCGGGCGGCAACGGGUGUCACACUAAUCAGGCUGGUUGUCUGCCCCUCCUGCGGGCAGGCAGCGAGAUCUAAGCGGGAUAGUCCCAAGCAGACCCUGUGCCAGGGGGCCGCCCGGGGCGAAUUCUCAAAACUGGCACUACGCUCGUAGAAGCCUGGAUGGCUGCCUUUUCGGACGCGAGUUCGAUUCUCGCCGCCUCCACCA
rnacentral:tmRNA from 1 species